UGGCCAGACUCCUACGGGAGGCAGCAGUGAGGGAUAUUGGUCAAUGGGGGAAACCCUGAACCAGCAACGCCGCGUGAGGGAAGGCGGUCUUCGGAUUGUAAACCUCUGUCCUCUGUGAAGAUAAUGACGGUAGCAGAGGAGGAAGCUCCGGCUAACUCCGUGCCAGCAGCCGCGGUAAUACGGGGGAUGCGAGCGUUAUCCGGAUUUAUUGGGUUUAAAGGGUGCGUAGGCGGCGCUUCAGGUCAGCGGUGAAAUACCGGGGCUCAACCCCGGGGCUGCCGUUGAAACCGGAGCGCUAGAAUUCCGAUGCCGUCGGAGGAAUGUGUGGUGUAGCGGUGAAAUGCAUAGAUAUCACACAGAACACCGAUUGCGAAGGCAUCUGACGAAUCGGAGAUUGACGCUGAUGCACGAAAGCGUGGGUAUCGAACAGGAUUAGAUACCCGUGUA
rnacentral:rRNA from 1 species